GCAUUGUCAAAAUGUUAAGGUACUUUGAGGAAAUUAAUUUGCUUCGAGCAAUGCCAAUGGCAAUGCAAUUUGUUGUCAACCACAAUAGACCUUAUGCGGCAUAAUGACGUCACAAGGCUUGAUGCCUGCGAGGAAUGCUGGUCUUAAUAGUCAUCGCCCUGGAAAAUUUUGAUAGUGGUCAUUUUGAAUUGUUUGAUCUUACUGGGCGAUGACUACUAAGACCAGCGUUCCUCGUGGGCAUCAAGGGCACCGGGCCUUUUGACGUCAUUAUGCAUAUGGUCUAUUUCUUGCCAACCACUUGACAACUGAUCUCACAUUACAUCGAAUGGACUUCUCUUAGCAUCAAAACAUCGCGAUAAAAUCAUUAUUUUCCAUACUCAAGUGAACAUUUUGGUCACUUUACCAAAAACAGUUUUAUUCAAAAAAGUAAAAGCAUGUUCGAUUUACUUCGUCUUUGAGCCAUAUAUUUUCUUUGUAAAACAACCUGGUGUUACGCUUUUGAUUUCUCCGUCACAGUUGUUUUACAAUAUUUAUUUUGAAGUAUAAACAUUUAUCUUGAAAAGACCAGGUUCUCUUGUUUCCUCAAGAAUUAACUUUUUAAUGUUAAUUCGCGGGCAAACAAGUCUUUUAAUGUUGUGUUUUCACUUGUGCUUAUUCACUUGUGAUGAACACAAUGUUAAUUGUUCUCUUUGUGCCAUGUUCUGUUUUCUUCUAUUGUUAUUUAAAUAAGUGUGCAGUGGUUGUUCUCUUUUUAUUGUUAUUCAAUUUGUAAUUACAAUUCUUUUCAAUAAAUUGUUCAUUAAUUAUACAAGAGACUCCUUUUUAAUUAAAAAUUCAAUUCCCAUGGGAAUUGAAAAAAAAAAUAAAAAAAAUCCCCCUACCCCGGCCGGCUCCCCAAGUGCCACCUCUACUUCAAGCAGAAGUACUUCUACUACAUAGUAAAAGUACUUCUACUCAAAGUAGAAGUAGCACUCGGAGAGCCAGCCGGGGUAGCGGGGCGAAGAGAAGACCAACCUUGCAAAUGCAAAAUAAUGCAAAUUGCUAAGUCGAUCUUCUCUUGAGAGCAGCCACGCGCAUACC